UACAGAGGUCUCAAGCGUUGUUCGGAUUUAUUGGGCGUAAAGGGCGCGUAGGCGGCGGGGUAAGUCGGGUGUGAAAUCUUGGAGCUUAACUCCGAAACUGCAUUCGAUACUGCCGUGCUUGAGGACUGGAGAGGAGACUGGAAUUUACGGUGUAGCGGUGAAAUGCGUAGAUAUCGUAAGGAAGACCAGUGGCGAAGGCGGGUCUCUGGACAGUUCCUGACACUGAGACACGAAGGCCAGGGGAGCAAACGGG
rnacentral:rRNA from 1 species